rnacentral:rRNA from 1 species
UACGCAGGCAGCAAGCGUUGUUCGGAAUUACUGGGCGUAAAGAGUGUGUAGGCGGUGUUCUAAGUUUGGUGUGAAAUCUCCCGGCUCAACUGGGAGGGUGCGCCGAAAACUGGAAUGCUAGAGUAUGGGAGAGGUAAGCGGAAUUCCUGGUGUAGCGGUGAAAUGCGUAGAUAUCAGGAGGAACACCUGUGGUGUAGACAGCUUACUGGACCAUCACUGACGCUGAGACACGAAAGCGUGGGUAGCAAACAGG